CCCAGCCUCCCAGCCUACAUCUUUCUCCUGUGCUGGACGCUUCCUGCCCUCGAACAUCGGACUCCAAGUUCUUCAGGUUUGGGACUCGGACUUGCUCUCCUUGCUGCUCAGCUUGCAGACAGCCUAUUGUGGUGGGACCUUGUGAUUGUGCAGGACUGCAGGACUGCAGCCACCAGGACAUGGCAUAGGGACCAGGGUGGCCUGCUGGCAAAGGACAGGCAGCCGGCAAGACUCCUGGAUUCCUAUCCUGGCUCCAGUGUCUACCAGCAGUGCAUUUUCCCACCCUGUGCCUCACUUUCCCCAUCUGUAAGAAGGGGGUGGUGACUGUAACUACAGUAGGGUUUUAGUGAUGUCUAAUGUAUUACUCAUAUAAAGCACAGAGUAAGACCCCAUUACUGCCCUUGCCACCAGGGGCCCCAGUGCAGCAGGAGGCUGUGAGGUGGUUUGGGGCCCUCUACUCGCUGGCCUGUGCGUGCUCCCUUGCCAUCCUGUGUGGUGUCACACUGCUGCUUCCCUCACUGGGUACGCAGGAGAAAAGGUAAGGCAGUAAGCACCAGUGGUCAGUUCAGCGGAUCGCUCGCUGCUCGCUGCCUCUGAGGCUCUGAGCCUGAGCCAGGAAGGUGCAUCCUUGGGCAGUCGCGGGCCAGGCCAAGUUCAGCCCGCAGAGUGGCCCUCCCCUGCCUCCUCUGGCCACUUGCUCUUUACAAGGAACGGAGGUCCAGGAGGUGGAUGGACCUGUGCACCUCCCAGCUGCAGGCCUCUGUUCUGUCUCUGUGAUGUGAUGGCGCCCCAGGCCACUGGAGAGAAGACCGUGGAAUGAAUGAAUUGGUGGCUGGAUGCUCAGUGGAGGGGUGCGGGUCACUUUGAGUUAUCCAUGUCAGAUAGUCCGAGCCGUCACACCCUCAGCUUCCUAUCAGCAGAGGAGUUUUUC
rnacentral:lncRNA from 1 species